GACGAACGCUGGCGGCGUGCUUAACACAUGCAAGUCGAGCGAGGAGCUUGCUCCUAGCGGCGAACGGGUGAGUAACACGUGGGCAACCUGCCCCAAGCUCUGGAAUAACUCCGGGAAACCGGGGCUAAUGCCGGAUAUGACAUCGCUGGGCAUCUGGUGGUGUGGAAAGAUUUAUCGGCUUGGGAUGGGCCCGCGGCCUAUCAGCUUGUUGGUGGGGUAAUGGCCUACCAAGGCGACGACGGGUAGCCGGCCUGAGAGGGCGAUCGGCCACACUGGGACUGAGACACGGCCCAGACUCCUACGGGAGGCAGCAGUGGGGAAUAUUGCGCAAUGGGCGAAAGCCUGACGCAGCGACGCCGCGUGAGGGAUGACGGCC
rnacentral:rRNA from 1 species